GGCGUAUUAUGAAUUUAUAUACCAUUUGUAACCAUGGAGAAAAUGGACGAUCAAGCGUCAGCAACUUUCCUCUGAACAGUCUCUUCUCCUAGGAGUCUAUAUUCUUAUUUGACUAAAAGAGACUUUUUUUAAAGUCAAACAGAUGGAUUUUCCUGUUUUGCGAUGACGAAUCGCUAUUCCUUUUUCCCGAAGCCAAAAUGCAAAACAUGUUUUCCGCUCGACAGCUAGUAAAUUACACGGCGAUGGCGGACGCAACAAGGCAACAGUAAUCUACCAAAGGCAGUUCAAACAUCAAACCUGGAUGACUGAUCAGAGGGAUGAUUAUCAUUGCACAUGCUUCAAACCUUGUGGAUAUUUUUCUUCGACAAUUUCAAUAAGAAGGGCCAACCGCUCAGCCUUUUCUCUCGGCAACCGCCCGAGUCUGAAAUAAACUUCGAAGUCAACACAACUUGGAUUCGAUUGCAAGAACACUGGACAAUCUUAAAGAGUAAUGCUAUGUUAACAAGAUUAAUCGCUGGAAUAAUUCCUUUAUACGGUAAUCGAAGUUUGCUUAAACUAAAUACAAGUGUCUCUACGAAAGGUCCUUAGCACUUGGAACUUUUGUGACUUGGCUAAAUAAGAGGGUUUAAGAAACAAGCAAACCAGCGACAACGACAACAAAAUUGUUGUUUUAAGAAAGACAUGAAAAGGUGACAAAUCUGAAGUUAUCUGGUUGAAGUUCUGAACAUAAACUGACCAAAACCAGUCCAGAACAGUGGGGGAAUGAUUAAGUAUUUAAAUCAGGGAGAUACUAGAGGAUCACGAAAGUUAUAUGUGACCUCUACUCUUUCUUUGUUGCUUUUACGUACUUUGCCAUUUUGAAAUUCUCAGUGAUUCAACUGCGUUAUCAGAGCUUUCCCGAGAACGCUCUACAAAAUGGGGAUCUGAUGAUUUUGGUAGACACUGUUCGUUUGAGGACGUAAGGUAACUAAGAUCAACUUACAAAAGCGCGCAAUUUAAAGUUAAAAUGAGCUACGAACGAUUAAUUCUUCCUAACAAAAGUCUCGCCAUACAUGUACACCUCAGCAAAUUGGCUUAAACAGUAAUGUCGGAAUAAUUCACGGAGGACUGAAAAAUGAAAAGCAAGUGGUUUAUUCAUAUUAAUAACCAUGCAUGGCGCUCCUUUUUCUAUAGAAAUUAUCCACAAGACUUAUGCGGGUAUCUAUCUUCCUGAGCUUAGGGUCACAGUGUUUUUGGUACUAUGAUGAAUUGAAACAAUACAGACUAACAGGUGGACACGCGAGGUUUUGGACGACCGUGAUAAGCUGGUUUGGAAAAAAUUACCAUAAAACUCAUUUAUACGAGAAUCUCAAAGGUGAAUUUAGUUAUGACUCUCUGGAACCACCAAAACAAAAGUAAAUUUCACUGAGCUGUGAACGACUUAUCAUAGGUCAUCGUUAGCCAAGCUGUAGGUGAACCACUGCUUACAAAGAAUGCUUUCUGAUGAUAAUCACUUCACACAUAUGAUGGAAAAAAAAAUGCGUCAAGCUAGGUAAAUGAUAUGGAGAUCAAAUUGGAAAAACUACGAAACAACUCGAAUAAUUCUAAUAUCACCAGCAGCCCUGAAAAAAUUAUUCGCCUGAGGGAGUAAUAAAAGAGAUAAUUGCAACGUUUCCAUUAUUUUGAGAUCAAGACAGAUUAGCGGCCAUAAUGCAGUAUUCUAAUCUCUCGAGUCUCAAUAAGUCAAGGCUGUGACAAUCUACUUCAGAGGUCACACAUCCUUUGCUAAAACUGGCAUAAAAACGCCAAAGUAAAUCACCUAAGUAUGUUUUAUUUAUUUCCUUCCUUGCCUGAUUUAAAGAGUAAACACUUUUUUCAAAUGUGUUUGCUUACCUUAGUCAAAUACAAUACUACAAGUGACAAGUGCAAUUUCCAUAUGCAUCAGUUUUUUUAAGGCUGUCUGUUGCUGCCCACGCACUGCUUUACUUAGUUCGCUCAAUGAACCGCGUAAUUAAACACCUAAAAGUUCGCAAACGUCGGGCAAAUGUCUUUCACGUUAAUUCAUGGAUUAACUUUAGACGUCAACUACGACAGACUUUUUGUCUGGCUACGCACGUGGAAACGUCCACGCAAUUUGUGUAAUAACUCUCGUAAACACAUGUGUUGAGACGCCGAAAACUGCCAAUGAAUAAUAAGCCGACAGUUCCAUUAAAACCAAUUUCUGCUCUUGUUGAA